rnacentral:pre_miRNA from 1 species
UGUGGAAUUGCUGGGUUAUAUGGUGAGGGUGUUCUUAACUUUAUAAAAAACUGUCAAACUAUUUUCCCAAAGUGGUUGUACCAUUUCUACAUUCCCAUCAGCAAU